rnacentral:rRNA from 1 species
CCUACGGGGGGCAGCAGUGAGGAAUAUUGGUCAAUGGGCGGAAGCCUGAACCAGCCAAGUCGCGUGAGGGAAUAAGGCUCUACGGGUCGUAAACCUAUUUUGCCGGGGAGCAAGGGCGGGGACGUGUCCCGGCCCGGAGAGUACCCGGAGAAAAAGCAUCGGCUAACCCCGUGCCAGCAGCCGCGGUAAUACGGAGGAUCCGAACGUUAUCCGGAUUUAUUGGGUGGAAAGGUAGCGUAGAAGGGGUGUUAAGUCAGGAGUGGAAGUUUGCGGCUCAACCGUAAAAUUGGAAUUGAUACUGGCAGUCUUGAGUACAGUUGGGGUAGGCGGAAUUCGUGGUGUAGCGGUGAAAUGCUUAGAUAUCACGAAGAACUCCGAUUGCGAAGGCAGCUUACUAAACUGCCACUGACAUUGAUGCUCGAAAGUGUGGGUAUCAAACAGGAUUAGAUACCCCAGUAGUC